AAAACAAAAAAACAGAGAACCAAAGCAGAAAAACAGAGUUAAAUUUUAGAAGAAAUAAAAUCAAAAUGAGUCUAAGCAGGAGAGCGUGGAUAGUAGCAGCCAGUGUUGGAGCAGUGGAAGCCUUAAAAGAUCAAGUUGGAUUGUGUAGAUGGAAUUACCCAUUGAAGUCUUUGGCUCAACACACAAAGAAUAACAUGAGAUCUUAUGCUCAAGCCAAGAAACUUUCUUCUUCAUUAAUUGCGAAGAAUGAAAAGGCAGAGCAAUCUGAAGAAUCAUUGAGAAAAGUUAUGUAUUUGAGCUGUUGGGGUCCAAAUUGAUUGUAAUUAAAUAGGACUACUGUCUAUUUCGAAAAUUAUAUGAGAAAACGUGUUGAUAUAUUUGUUGCUUUGAUGACAAAUCAGCUAUUCCAAUAUUUUUGUAUCACUUCAAUGAAAUACUAUAGUAUAUAGUUUUUAAAAUCUGAAAUUAGAAAUAGAAUUAAGAUCGAACAGCAUCUCAAAAGAUCAGUACAAAUUAAAAAUAUUAAAUGACGAAGAGUGGAAAUUGAAAAUGUAAAUUGAUGCUUUCAGGCACAUUUAUUUGCAUUUUCUUAAACAUAAACUUAGGUAUAAAUUUUUCUGUAGGCUUCUUGUGAAUAGUCUUUACCUAGAGAAAGUUUUUCUUUUGGAUUGGUCCCUCUUUCUUCAAUUUCUUUCAAUUGGAUCAGAAUAUAUUUCCAAGUCAAAUAGUUUAUUUAUGCAUAUUUCUAUUUCCAUAUCUCUUUGAACUGUAACGAUCAAAACAAUAUCAUAUUGACUUCUUCUUUUUCUUUUUAUACUUUUUCAUUUUUAAAGUUAUCCAAACACUUUCAAAAUUAAAAAAUAUCUUAAAAGUCAAAAAUCAUUAAAAAUAAGUUAUCAAGGGUAUAUCAAAAGAGUGUUUGAAAACUAUUGAAAAGAGGUGAAUAUAUCCGAUGCAACAUAACUUUAACAUACCAAAAUAUAUCUUAUAUAAGAUAAAAUGGUGUGAAGAUCGUUACUAAGCAUUGUGUGCGCCAUAGUAUUAAUCUUAUACAUAUAGUUACUUUGAUACAUAUUUAACGUUUAUUGUGUUUUAAUCAUCGUAUUAUAUUUUAUUGUUAUCAUUUUUUUCUAUAUUUUUUUAAUUAUUACUUCCGGAGAAUUACAUUAUACAUUGGAAAAGAAACGAUAUACAACUACAUUUAUGUUCAAUCAUCUGACAUUGGUUUCAUUUGAAUAUCCUUUCCCAUGGUUUUGGCGCAAGUGGAUUUUCUUUAAUCUCGCCAAUCCGUGUGCAUUCUUAUUAAAAUUUUAUUUAUUUAUUUUAGCCUCAUUUAUACCAGAACAUGUGUCACUCCAAAAAACAGUGUGCUCUCCAAAUAUAGUACACGUAGUAAUAAUUGAAGUGUCAACUUCACCUCCAUAAACACACACCUACCUCCAAAAUUGGAAAACCAUGUUCCAAAAACCACAGGAAAAUAAAAAUAGCACAGCCAAAAGCCACUAGUUUUAUUGAGCAAUACUUACCUAUAUAUAUAUAUAUAAAAAAAUCAUCCAUUCAUCAUCCCAAGUAAUUGAAUCCAACAAACACAAAAAGAACAAGUCUUUGUAAAAGCACUCACAAAAAUAGUAAGCCAAGAUUUGAAGAUGAGUUCAACAAGCAGAGCAUGGGUUACAGUAGUGAGUUUAGGAGUAGUAGAGGCACUAAAAGAUCAAGGAGUUUGUAGGUGGAAUUACACAAUCAGAGCCAUUAAUCAGCACGCUAAGAACAAUCUACGCUCAUAUUCACACGCCAAAAAAUUAUCUUCUUUGGUUUCUACAAAAAGUGAAAUGAAGGAGAAAGCUAAGCAGUCUGAAGAGUCUCUUAGGAAAGUUAUCUACUUGACCUGUUGGGGUCCAUAUUGAAUUCCAACUGUUAAAUUUUUUGAUAUUCUUAUGUACAUAUAUAUAUUCCUUGAGAAUUUAGGAGAAUGUUGAAGCAGUAGUUUUAUAGCUUGAGGCUUAAUUGCCUUGUCAAUAUUAAUGGGAAAACAUUUUUUUUCUAGUCCAUAUUGAUAUUGACGCAGUUCUCUAAUGAAUCAUGUGAAAUUUGUAGUUUUGAAACUUUCCAUCUAUUUACCAAUGUAAAAUGGUUCUAAUUUACCUCUAAAUUAUAUAAAAUGGAAUUAGUUUUACCUCCGUUAAUAUUUUGGAUUAAGUACAUUUUACCGUUGCUAAAAGUUCUUAUUUUUGAAGAAAGCUUAGAAUUCAGUAAUGCCGUACUCACUCCGUUUCUAUUUAUAUAUCACCAUUUUAUUAUUUAUGCCUUCAUAAGAAAUCAUAUAAGUUUAUCAUUGUAUUCUUAUUCAGUGGUCUUUUAAGUUUCACGCCUCAUAACAAACUAGUAUUCUUAUUUAGUGAUCUAGAAUUUAAGUUUUCAAUAAAUAAAUAUAAAUUAAUUUAUCUGAUUAAUUAAAUUAAUCAAUGAAUAUAAAUUAAUCAUUUAGGUUUCUUAUAUCGAUUAAAUUUAUAUUUUUAAGACUAAUAAAUAAAAUAGGAAAAAAUAAGAAGAACAAAACUAAUUUUUGAGCAUUUGACAUUUUUCUAUUUUUUCUGAGUAAUUGACGGUAAGAUAACAAGGAGGAGAAAAGGAAGAACAAAAAUAAUUGAAUACUCAAAAUUAAAUUAGGAAGGAGGAUUUUAAAUUUACUUUAGAUUUUGAAAGUACAUUUUACAGAACAUGUAGCCUGUCUUGAUUCCUGGUAAUAAAACCAUUGGUUUAUGAAGAAACCAGUGGUUCUAGUCCUCAGUUUCGUCUACAAAUAUUUUCCGAAUAAUAUAUUAUUUGUCUCAAUCAAUUAUGUAUAUUAGUGGAGUUAAAUUUUUUUACCCCUGUCUCAAUAUAUAUAACACUUUUCGAAUUUCGAGAUUCAAACAAGUCCAUUUUUUAUAGUAAAUUUCUCAUAUAUUUUUAAAUUAUUUUAAAUUGUCAAUUAUUGUGGAGUAUAACUUAUAGUUUAAAAAUAUAUAAAUUUCAUUUUAAAAAAUUGAAGAUUCCACGUGCAAAUUUUCAAUCAAAUUUAAAUUGUUUGAAUCUCGAAAAAUGAAAAGUGCCACAUAAAUUGAGACUGGGAAAGUAUUAGAAAGCCAAAAUAUAAAAAAUCAAAUACACAAAAAAUAAAAAAUAAAAAAAUAUUAUGCAUAUAUAUAAUAUUAUAUAUAUACUAUUAAUUAUAUUUAAUUUAUAAUUUAAUUUUUCACUAACAAGAUUCAGCUGAAAGAAUUUAAAAUAUAUGAAUCUCCAUGAAUUUUAAAUCUCAGCACAUUAGUAGAGGCUCAUUAUUCUAAAGUCUAUAAACUUUUACUUGGUAGUUGUGCAAUUUCAGCAGGAGAUCAAAUGAAUUUCUUAGGACCAGCCAGGUUCCAUCGAUUAUUCUAAAUAUGAAGUAUUUUCUUAAUUUUAAGAUAAUUAAGUACAGUAUUAUUUGAUAAAAAUUGAACAUAUAUAUAUAUAUAUAAUGUGUAAUUAAUUAAAUUAUUCUUAUGUAAUAAGUAUUUCUUUAAAAUCCAAUAUUAUUAAAAUAUAAAAAUAUAAUUAAAAAAUAUGUUAAUUUUUAUCGUGAAUUAUUUAAAUGACAUCUGUGAUAAAUAAAAAAUUGACUCUUUGUCUUUUUCUCAGUAAAAUUUGAAUACUGUCCUUUUUUUCAGGGGUAGAGUUGAGAAAAAAAAAAAAAAAAAAAAAAACAAAAACAAAAAAAAAACACUGGCUUUAGAGCCCACAGUCGCCGUAAAACCACUGGUUUAUCACUUUCUAGAUUCUUCCCCCUUUGCUUCUUUACAUCAGUACUGUGCCUAUAUAUUUAGCCCCAAUUUCUCUACAUCAUACAACUCAAAAACAUUCAAAUGUACAAGCAAUCAAAACAUCAUUGAAUCAAUUCAUAUAAUAUAUCAAAAACAAAGCAGGAAAAAAAAGUGAUUAAUUUUAUAAGGAAUUUAAUCAAAAUGAGUUCAAGCAGGAGAGCGUGGAUAGUAGCAGCCAGUGUUGGAGCAGUGGAAGCCUUAAAAGAUCAAGUUGGAUUGUGUAGAUGGGAUUAUCCAUUGAAGUGUUUGGCACAACACACAAAGAAUAACAUAAGAUCUUACUCUCAAGCUAAGAAACUUUCUUCUUCUCUGAU
rnacentral:lncRNA from 1 species